rnacentral:rRNA from 1 species
UCCAAAAAGCGGAGGAAAAGAAACUAACAAGGAUUCCCCUAGUAACUGCGAGUGAAGCGGGAAAAGCUCAAAUUUAAAAUCUGGUGGUCUUUGGCCAUCCGAGUUGUAAUCUAGAGAAGUGUUAUCCGCGCUGGACCGUGUACAAGUCCCCUGGAAUGGGGCGUCAUAGAGGGUGAGAAUCCCGUCUUUGACACGGACUACCAGGGCUUUGUGAUGCACUCUCAAAGAGUCGAGUUGUUUGGGAAUGCAGCUCAAAAUGGGUGGUAAAUUCCAUCUAAAGCUAAAUAUUGGCGAGAGACCGAUAGCGAACAAGUACCGUGAGGGAAAGAUGAAAAGAACUUUGGAAAGAGAGUUAAACAGUACGUGAAAUUGUUGAAAGGGAAACGCUUGAAGUCAGUCGCGUCUGCCAGGGAUCAACCUUACUUUUGUGAGGCGUACUUCCUGGUUGAUGGGUCAGCAUCAGUUUUGGUUGCUGGAUAAAGGUCAGAGAAAUGUGGCACCUUCGGGUGUGUUAUAGUCUUUGAUCAGAUACAGUGGCUGGGACUGAGGAACUCAGCGCCGCAAGGCUGUCUUAGGAUGCUGGCAAAAUGGCUUUAAUCGACCCGUCUUGAAACACGGCCAAAGGGAGUCA